GAUGAACGCUGGCGGCGUGCCUAAUACAUGCAAGUCGAGCGAACGGACGAGAAGCUUGCUUCUCUGAUGUUAGCGGCGGACGGGUGAGUAACACGUGGAUAACCUACCUAUAAGACUGGGAUAACUUCGGGAAACCGUAGCUAAUACCGGAUAAUAUUUUGAACCGCAUGGUUCAAAAGUGAAAGACGGUCUUGCUGUCACUUAUAGAUGGAUCCGCGCUGCAUUAGCUAGUUGGUAAGGUAACGGCUUACCAAGGCAACGAUGCAUAGCCGACCUGAGAGGGUGAUCGGCCACACUGGAACGGAGACACGGUCCAGACUCCUACGGGAGGCAGCAGUAGGGAAUCUUCCGCAAUGGGCGAGAGCCUGACGGAGAAACGCCGCGUGAGUGAUGAAGGUCUUCGGAUCGUAAAACUCUGUUAUUAGGGAAGAACAUAUGUGUAAGUAACUGUGCACAUCUUGACGGUACCUAAUCAGAAAGCCACGGCCAACUACGUG
rnacentral:rRNA from 1 species